ACAGAAUUGUUUCCCACUCAUUUGCUGAGAAAGACACUCAUCCCCAGAUCCCCUCUUCAGUAAGGCUCGCCACUUCUGCCAUGUCACUCCGCCGAGGACUCUGAUAAACCGCUGCCAUGUCCGGUGCUUCUGGUUUCCAUUGACAGUGAACAUGCCCGUUCUUCUCCCCUGGAGGUCCUUGCUGAUGGAGCUUGUCCUUGCCAUUCUCCGUCGCCGGGAGCACGAUUCCGGAAGUCUCCUUCCACCGAGCCUGAGCCGCCCCAUUUACGGUCAGAUGCUUCUUUUUUUUAGCAGCGCCGUUUGCUAAUCUGUCCUCCGAUCAGCGCCGUCUUCCUCAACAGACACGUCGUCCCCUCCAUCAGCCUGGUAUCCGUUGCCACCUCCGGCCUCCACCAAAGGUUGCAUUGAUACCGCGCCUUCAAGCCCGCUGCUUUGCUCCUCCGCUUCCGAGGAUCGUCGUCGCUGCUUGCUGGUUUCUCCGCUUUGUGCUUGUGUUCCUCGAAGCAUCUCUGCUGAAUUCUGCACCAGAGAUUUCCUCCUUCAUCUCUGCAAUAUCCAUUAGAAUAGGAUCCACUUCCCCCAAACUACCUUUCGAUUUCAAUGUUUGUAUUAAGAGGCUGAACAUGAAGCAAUAAUCUCUGCUGCUCCCAACAGAAGCUUUCCAUCUGUGUAUCUGAUCACAACCGCGGUUGCUGCCUCCCCUGUGCUUGCUCUGAAUGCUGCGUCAACAUUAGCUUUUAACCAACCCUCUGGCGGUGCUCUCCAGUGCCGAAUGAGCGAAGCAGCUCCCGGCAAGUAAGAUCAACCUAGGAAUCCCCAACCUGGCUGCUGCAUCUACAGUCCAAGGGUAGAACAUGUCAGUGACAAUGCAAUCUGCCUCCAGUUCCUCAAACAAAUUCUCAAUCUCCUUUUCCA